CUCCUGUACCAUCUGGGCCGACCAAGGGCCUCCUGGGGUCCUCAACUGGGACCUGGUCAGACUAGCUUUCAAGCCUCCCAGGGGUCUAGCUUGGUGCUUCUGACCUCUAGGGCCAUCCUGACUUUAGCAGUGACCAGGAAAGAGGGUUGCUGAUUAGGCAGACCUGAGAAAAUAUACACACAAGUAUACAGAACCGAGGACAGGCAAAUUUUCCCAGGGUUACGUGAGUGCUUUAAAAGGGGUGCUGGGAAAGGCACUGCUUCCCUUAAAUGAUGAACUUGUAGGCAGGACUACUGAGGGGCAACUUGGGAGUGGCGUGAGGGGACCUUCUGGUUCCUUUUAGACCGCAUCUCACAGAUCCAGAUUUUCACUCUGUGGCACCCUGGUAAGGGCCCCAUCGUGCCAGCUCACUGCUCUUAGGGAUUCCUGGUGUCAUAGGCUCUCAGCCAUGUGGCUCUGCUCUCCUGGCCCCAGAUGGCUGCACCAGGAUGGGCGCCUGGGUUCAGACUUCAACUUGCUCCCGGUGUGCGUCUUCCCCUAUUACUUUGGUAAAGAACACUUGACAAUGCACCCAGUUACAGUAGAACCUCUCCCAGCCUCCCUUGCAGGUAAAUGUGAUCAAGUAAGUGACUAUGUUCUAACCAAUAAGAUAUAGUUAUGUGAACCUUCUGAUGAGUGUUUUAAAGGGGAAGUGAUGUGUCCUUGGACCCCUCAUGGUGUGGCCUGGAGUGUGAAUGACAUUGGCUGGGCUCCCUGCCAGGCCUGGACUGCCUCUGCCUCCUCACUUUCUUGACAUGAGAGAGAGAGAAAUGCCUACCUCAUCCAAGUCACUAUUUUUCAGGUCUCUGCUACCUGCAGCCAAAUGUGGUCUCAAGUGUUGAAUUUCCUGACCCACAGGUGGCCAGAGGCCCAUGAGGAAGUCUGAAAUGAAGUGUUGCCAUUGACUCUGCUUUUUCCUAGACAAGACUGCUGACCUGACCACAGGCAUCACCUGACAAGAAUGAGACCCUUUGGCAGGACAACGACCAGUCAGUGAGUUCAGACAAUGCCUCUGAAAUGGAAUCGGAAUUGGCACAAGGUCCCUGUCUUGGCUGAACAAACACGGGUUGGUUAAUGCCUAUCAUCGAACUGUGAGUAAAAUGUCCACGGCACUUUGGGGUAGUAUCGCUCUCUGUACAAGUACUUGUUGAGUGCCUACUGGGUACACGGCUGAUGGCACAUUACCACCUGACAUGCCCAUCCAGCCUUC